rfam:Erinaceus europaeus unplaced genomic scaffold scaffold00083, whole genome shotgun sequence
GUUCGAUUCAGCAGCACAUAUACUAAAAUUGGAACAAUACAGAGAUUAGCAUGGACCCUGCACAAAGAUGACACACGAAUUCAUGAAGCGUUUCAUAUUUAA